GCAUAGCUUCUCUUAUCUCACAUGAAACACACAUCACAAUCUCUUCAUCUCCCUGUCUCUCCCUCUCCCUCUGUUAAAAGAAUCCUUCCCUUUCCAUUUCCCUCAACAGAUCUCCAAAAAUAAUUCCUCAUCAAACCCUCAUCUCAUACCUUCUCUCUCAACCCACUUUCUUUCCAUCGAAUGAUUCUAGAACCUUCAUGAAUCCACCCACCACCACCUUCAUGGACCACAACCACCACCGCCGUCCAUACGAUGCCUGAGCUGCGUAGCCGAACACGCAGAAAUCGGGCUCAGAAUAACAAUCAGAAUCCGAAUCCGAUUAAGCUCACUGUACAGACUCGUAAAAGAAGAACCGCGGAGGUUAAUAACAACAGAAAAAACAACGCGAUCGUUGAUGAUAAGGAGAACAUUGUGAGAUUUUCUGAUACGACGCCGUUUAGAAAGGAGCUUCUGGACGAGGGGGCUAGGGUCUUGAGAGGAGAAGAGGAGGUUGCUGAGAAGAAGAUGGAUGAACACGACAGCGGAGGAGGCCGGAGCGCCGACAAGGGACCGGGAGCGGAUGAUGAAGGAAGCACUGCUCCUCUUCCUGAGAAGGUCCAAGUUGGUGGCUCUCCAAUGUACAAAAUAGAAAGGAAACUGGGUAAAGGAGGUUUUGGACAAGUGUAUGUUGGUCGACGAAUUGGUCCCACAAAUUUUGCAAAUGAAAGAGGUGGCCCUGGAGCUUUAGAGGUAGCAUUAAAAUUUGAGCAUAGAAGCAGCAAAGGGUGUAAUUAUGGACCGCCUUAUGAGUGGCAAGUUUACAAUGCACUUGGAGGCAGUCAUGGUGUGCCACGAGCUCAUUACAAAGGGAGGCAGGGUGACUACUAUGUAAUGGUUAUGGAUAUGCUUGGGCCUAGUUUAUGGGAUGUUUGGAAUAACAAUUCUCACACGAUGUCCAUUGAAAUGGUUGCUUGCAUUGCCAUUGAAGCCAUCUCCAUACUCGAAAAGAUGCACUCUAGGGGGUAUGUCCAUGGGGAUGUAAAACCCGAAAACUUUUUACUUGGUCCACCAGGAACUCCUGAAGAAAAAAAGCUUUUCCUUGUCGACCUUGGAUUAGCAACCCGGUGGAGAGAUAACUCAACUGGUCUUCAUGUUGAAUAUGAUCAACGCCCAGAUGUUUUUAGGGGAACUGUUCGAUAUGCCAGUGUUCAUGCUCAUCUUGGUAGAACUGGUAGCAGGAGAGAUGACUUAGAAUCUCUUGCCUACACUCUCAUCUUUCUUCUCCGUGGUCGACUGCCUUGGCAAGGGUAUCAGGGGGAAAAUAAAGGGUUCCUUGUCUGCAAGAAGAAGAUGGCAACUUCACCAGAAACUUUGUGUAGCUUCUGUCCUCAGCCAUUUAGACAGUUUGUUGAGUAUGUUGUAAAUUUGAAGUUUGAUGAGGAACCAAAUUAUGCAAAAUAUAUCUCUCUUUUUGAUGGAAUUGUUGGUCCAAACCCAGACAUUAGGCCAAUUAACACUGAUGGUGCGCAGAAGCUUAUAUAUCAGGUUGGGCACAAGAGAGGCCGGUUGACAAUGGAGGAAGAAGAAGAUGAACAACCAAAGAAAAAGGUCAGAAUGGGGAUGCCUGCAACACAGUGGAUUAGUGUUUAUAAUGCUCGUCGGCCAAUGAAACAAAGAUAUCACUAUAACGUGGCUAAUGUGAGGCUCUCCCAGCACAUAGAGAAGGGUAACGAAGAUGGGUUAUUUAUCAGCAGUGUGGCUUCUUGCACAAACCUAUGGGCCCUAAUUAUGGAUGCCGGCACUAAUUUCAGUGCACAAGUUUAUGAGGUCUCUCCUCAUUUUCUCCACAAGGAAUGGAUAAUGGAACAAUGGGAGAAGAAUUACUACAUCAGUGCAAUUGCAGGAGGAAAUAAUGGAAGCUCAUUAGUUGUGAUGUCCAAGGGGACCCAGUAUGUACAGCAGUCUUAUAAAGUAAGUGAUUCAUUUCCCUUCAAGUGGAUCAAUAAGAAAUGGAGGGAGGGUUUUUAUGUCACAGCCAUGGCCACUGCUGGAAGUAGAUGGGCAAUAGUUAUGUCUCGUGGCGCGGGAUUUUCAGACCAGGUUGUGGAGCUAGAUUUUCUAUAUCCCAGUGAAGGCAUUCAUCGUAGGUGGGAUGGUGGUUAUCGCAUCACUUCAACUGCAGCUACGUGGGACCAAGCUGCUUUUGUUCUCAGUGUACCAAGAAGAAAACCAGUUGAUGAAACUCAAGAAACACUUCGAACUUCUGCUUUUCCCAGUACACAUGUCAAAGAGAAAUGGGCAAAGAAUCUCUAUAUUGCAUCAGUUUGUUAUGGUCGAACUGUCUCAUGAAUGACUGAAGUUUUGCUGGGAUGCUGCUACUGCUAUCAUGACAAUUUAGAAGACAAUUCUUACCACUUAUAACCUUUGUUUUCAGAAGCAAAGAUCUGCUCAAGCCAAAUUGACUCAUCAUGGGAUUUGGGAGUCUGUAUGCAAAACUCCACCUUAAUGUAGCCAUGACUUAGCAUCCAUUAAUACCUGUGCAUUAUCUUUCAACUGGGUUGAAAUGCCUUUAGGAUGGCGCUGAUUUACCACUGCUAAGAAGUUUGUAUAGUUAUGAACAGUAGUUGAAGAAAUGUGCACAGAAAGCAGGCUGGGCUCCAUUUUUCAGCAAGGAUUCGUGGUGCUGAAAGAUCAAUUAUCCUUUUGCCUGGGGGGUCCUGGGAUCCUCAAAUAGAGAAAUUCUUCGGACUUGGAACCGCUUCUGUACAUAAGAACCAGGGAUGUAUGGAAUUUGAACUGGGUGUACAGACUGAAUGGAUACUUGUUCUGUGUCUGAUAUGGUUGCCGAAUGCUAUAAUGUGCUGCAUCUUGAUAUCUCUACUGAAAAGCGAGUUUUCUUCAUGCAUCAGCUUACAAGUAGUUGAUUGCUCGGUACUGCACAAUAUCCUGGUCGCAAGCCUCCUCCAUCGAUGGCAAAGGUGGCUGCAUGGGUGCCGAGAUUAAUCAGAAUCUUCCUGAUGAGAUAGGACACUUUGGAUGCUGGAUGCUGCAAAUGUUGGGAAGUGUUCAAUUCAUACAUGAAUAUGCUGGAUGCAAUGUUGGGAAAUCGUCUAUUGUUAAGCCAUUCAUUUGUGACAUGCUCGUUUUUGCUUGCUUCAAUCCACAUUUGUCUUUUGGAAUA